CCUACGGGUGGCAGCAGUCGAGAAUCAUUCACAAUGGGGGAAACCCUGAUGGUGCGACGCCGCGUGGGGGAAUGAAGGUCUUCGGAUUGUAAACCCCUGUCAUGUGGGAGCAAAUUAAAAAGAUAGUACCACAAGAGGAAGAGACGGCUAACUCGGUGCCAGCAGCCGCGGUAAUACAGAGGUCUCAAGCGUUGUUCGGAAUCACUGGGCGUAAAGCGUGCGUAGGCUGUUGCGUAAGUCGUGUGUGAAAGGGGCGGGCUCAACCCGCGGACGGCACAUGAUACUGCGAGACUAGAGUAAUGGAGGGGGAACCGGAAUUCGCGGUGUAGCAGUGAAAUGCGUAGAUAUCGAGAGGAACACUCGUGGCGAAGGCGGGUUCCUGGACAUUAACUGACGCUGAGGCACGAAGGCCAGGGGAGCGAAAGGGAUUAGAUACCCGUGUAGUC
rnacentral:rRNA from 1 species